rnacentral:rRNA from 1 species
AGAGUUUGAUCAUGGCUCAGAACGAACGCUGGCGGCGUGGAUAAGACAUGCAAGUCGAGCGCUGAUUGCCGGGUAGCAAUAUUCGGCAGUCGGAGCGGCGCAAGGGUGCGUAACACGUGGGUAAUCUGCCAUGAAGUUUGGAAUAACUUGCUGAAAGGCGAGCUAAUGCCGGAUGUGACCGUUGGGAGGCCUCUCCCGAUAGUUAAAGCUGGGGACCGUAAGGCCUGGCGCUUCAUGAUGAACCCGCGGCCUAUCAGCUAGUUGGUGAGGUAACGGCCCACCAAGGCUAAGACGGGUAGCUGGUCUGAGAGGACGACCAGCCACACUGGAACUGAGACACGGUCCAGACACCUACGGGUGGCAGCAGUCGAGAAUUUUUCACAAUGGGCGCAAGCCUGAUGGAGCGACGCCGCGUGGGGGAUGAAUGGCUUCGGCCCGUAAACCCCUGUCAUUCGCGAUCAACCCUUAUUAUUUAAAAGAUGAUAAGCUGAUAGUAGCGGAAGAGGAAGGGACGGCUAACUCUGUGCCAGCAGCCGCGGUAAUACAGAGGUCCCAAGCGUUGUUCGGAUUCACUGGGCGUAAAGGGUGCGUAGGUGGUGAGGUAAGUCGGAUGUGAAAGCUCGGAGCUCAACUCCGAAAUGGCAUUGGAAACUACCUCGCUCGAGGGUUGGAGGGGGGACUGGAAUGCUUGGUGUAGCAGUGAAAUGCGUAGAUAUCAAGCGGAACACCAGUGGCGAAGGCGAGUCCCUGGACAACUCCUGACACUGAGGCACGAAAGCUAGGGGAGCAAACAGGAUUAGAUACCCUAGUAGUCC